UAUCUAUCCAUCAAUAAUUGAUUUUUUGUGAAAGGUCAAAAGUCAAAAUGUGUUUCCCUCAGAUGGCUAUUCAGUUGUUCUGACGGUUAUUGGACAAUCCAUCUUUUACCUACUGAUUUGAAAUGACACUUUGAUCAUAUCUUAAAUUCCUGCAUGUAUUUGAGUCCAUUCCAGGACUCCCUGUUGUGCUCUAUUGUUCUGUUCUUCCAGGCAUAAUAUCAUAUUGUUUUAAUUAGUAUAGCUUUAUAAUAUCUUUUGUUCUCUACUUGGACUUACCUUUUCAUUACUCACUUUUCUCAGAAUGUUCUUGACUGUUCAUUUUUCCAUAUUAACCUUAGAGCUCAUUUUUCCAUGUUAACCUUAGAAUCAGCUGGUUUCAUUCUAAAUAUUCCUGUUGGUGCCUUUAUUGAGAUAACUUUGAAUGGACAUGUUUAAUUUAAUAUUGAGUCUUACUAGUUAUUCCUCUGAAUUUUAAGAUGAGUUUUCUUGAAGUCAACAACUAUAUGAGGACAAGCAUUAAUACUAUUCUCAUUUUACAGAGGCAGCAGAAAUCUUCUGAGAGGUUGAAAACAUUUCUUAUUCCUCAAGUUCACAAAACUGACAAGCCUUGGAAAGGGCCUAGGCCCAGAUGGUCUCCCUUAUACGCUUGAUCUUCCAUCUACUCAGUCUCAUCUAGCCCUUAUGACAGGGAGAGGCAGCUCCUGGAAACCAAUGACACAUCUGUUGUGGCAUGCAGUCAGACAAACCAGCAUGGGGUGGCAAAAUAGCACGGGCUUUGUGCCUAGCAAGAUCCCAGUUUCCUUCAUGACUUUGUUAUUUCCUAUCUGUGAGACCUUGCAGAAACUCUUUUUUAGACAGUACUUGAUUUGCAGAGGAUUAGGAGACUACGCCCUACCUAAUACUUGGCACUUGGAGGCACUCAAUCAAUGGAGUGGGGAUUCUUCCUCGCAGAAUGCCUGUAUCCAGUUAGGGAAAUGGUUGAAGACAAAAACUGAAGAAGCCACAGAAGACUGGUGAUUGCACUUAAGAAACAGCCUGAAACUACGUGAGGUCUGAAGGCAGAUGCUGACAGAGUUACCAGUGGUUACAACAGACCCGGACUUCCUGUGAGGCGCCGCUGGUGGUCUGGUGCCCUCUGCUGGUGAAGCCGCCUGGCUUUCUUGUUGCUUGGUUUCCUCUGGAUUUUUAUCUUCAUCUUCCUGGCGCAACAUCUUUCAGCAGAGUGUGCCGUUCUUAUACGAAGGUAAGAAGCCAUUCUGCUGGACACCUUACUUGAAGAAACACUCAGAGAGAAUCAAAGAAAGCAGGACUUGGCAUUUCUUCGACAGUAUACCCCUGUGUGUGAACGCUCCCUUUUUCCUGCCAUCCGCCGAGGGGGAACUUUCUAGUACUCAGUUCCCAAUGUGACCCUUGCCCCCCUCAGCUCUGGCAUUCUUUUAAUUCCCUUUGAAAGAGAGUGUACAUUCUUCUCCAGAACACACAAGAGGAGGCAGCCAAGAAGAAGAGAAGUCUGGGAGCCCUGGAAGAAGUUAGGCAGGAGCGCCUCAUCCUCAGGGAGCCAAGAUGGAGACGACCCAUGACUCGACCCUAGAAAGGCAGGUCAGCUUCUGCAGGGUGGUAGUGAGGGCAGGCUCAUGGUGGAAAGAGGCAGGUCUUCAUGGACUGGGGCCAAGUCCAACAGAUCAGCUGAGAUGACAAGUCAGGCAAGUAGAAAUUGAGUCGAAGUGCUUAAGCCAGAGACAGAUGAGUGACUCAACUGGUUAAGAUUUGGUUAGUAAAAGGCUAGGGUUCUCACAUGCUCACUUGAAAUUUUUGUUCCAUAGUCUUCUCUGGGAAAAUAGAAAAUAAAUUGUGCGGUGGCCCUGCUGCUGUCA